CGUUAAUCGGAAUCACUGGGCGUAAAGCGCGCGCAGGUGGUCCUUAAGUCUGAUGUGAAAGCCCACGGCUCAACCGUGAGGGUCAUUGGAAACUGGGGAACUUGAGUGCAGAAGAGGAAAGUGGAAUUCCAAGUGUAGCGGUGAAAUGCGUAGAGAUUUGGAGGAACACCAGUGGCGAAGGCGACUUUCUGGUCUGUAACUGACACUGAGGCGCGAAAGCGUGGGGAGC
rnacentral:rRNA from 1 species